UCUACAUCAGUCUGCCAGGAGAGCAGCUCAAUGGGAAAGAGCUUUAUUCAGACCAAAUUGAAGGGAGAAAGCUUCCAGAAGAGAAUGAAGGAAAAGAAUCCAUCAGGAUACAAGAUCAUGGAGAUGCUUCAAUUUUUUUAAAGACUGAAGACAGUGAGGAUGAUAAAGAGGACAGUGAUGUGGAGAACCCUCUCUCUGAGCUGAAACUGUUGCCAGACUCUGGGUAUGAGAAAUCUUCUACAGAGAAGAAAAAAUUUAGGAAAGGCCACACAGGAGUUGAGCUUAGCUGCAAAGACUGUGGCAAAA